rnacentral:rRNA from 1 species
AUUGAACGCUGGCGGAAUGCUUUACACAUGCAAGUCGAGCGGCAGCGCGGCCUUCGGGCUGGCGGCGAGCGGCGAACGGGUGAGUAAUGCAUCGGAACAUGCCCAGUCGUGGGGGAUAACACUUCGAAAGAAGUGCUAAUACCGCAUACGUCCUGAGGGGGAAAGCGGGGGAUCGCAAGACCUCGCGCGAUUGGAGUGGCCGAUGUCAGAUUAGCUAGUUGGUGGGGUAAAGGCCUACCAAGGCGACGAUCUGUAGCUGGUCUGAGAGGAUGAUCAGCCACACUGGGACUGAGACACGGCCCAGACUCCUACGGGAGGCAGCAGUGGGGAAUUUUGGACAAUGGGGGCAACCCUGAUCCAGCCAUUCCGCGUGAGUGAAGAAGGCCUUCGGGUUGUAAAGCUCUUUCGGCAGGAAUGAAACGGUGGGCUCUAACAUAGUCCGCUAAUGACGGUACCUGAAGAAGAAGCACCGGCUAACUACGUG